GAGAUGUUGAGUGACAGCUGUCCAAUGGAGGCCCUCCGUGCUAGUACGGCUUGCGGCUUAAGCGCCGCCGCGGUCUGCGGAAUGUCAACUAUUCAACAUGGAGGCGGAGGUCGAUAAGCUGGAACUGAUGCUGUCACCACUGACUAAAGAAGAGAAAACUGCGGCAGAGCAAUUCAAAUUUCACAUGCCAGAUUUAUGAAGAAAUGGACUUGGAAAGGAAAUUCUAACAGAGAAGAGCUUAAUUCCGGAGAAAUUUAGGAAGAUGUCUUGUUAACCCUUGAUGUCUAGAGAUUGGGGGCUGGUGAAGGGGGUUUGGCUUCAAUGACUGGAUAAUGAUAUCUUUCAUGAGAGAGAUUAUAAGAAGAAGGGCAGAUAAUAUAUGAAUAAAGUUCAGCCAAAAGGAUCAAAUGAGAAUAAAACGAUUUAAAUAUAUGUACACACGCAUGCACACACACACUUAGUCUUGUAAUUUCAGGCCAGAAAUUCUCAACACUAUUUUGCAUCUGUUUUCUUUUUCUAAGUCAUGAUAAUAU
rnacentral:lncRNA from 1 species